GCAUUUUAUUCGGAAAAAUAGGUUAAACUUUAUGGAAAUCUAUGUGUCAGAUCUGAUUUCAUAAUCAAUAAUAAAAAAGACAAGGAAAAUAUUCGCAGUUACAUAAUAAAUUGUUUCGUAAUUUUAAAAUUAAUUUUCUGAUUAUUUAGACAAUAUAAUAUUUUAAAUAAUUUUUAUUAAAUUUUAAAUAUUUAUAAACCUUUUUUCAACAAAAUCUAAUUAAAAAAAAAAUGUUAUCUAUUUUUUAAACAUAUCAAGAAAGUUGAUUGGCCUAUACAGUCUGCAGCGGAUCUUGGUGCUCAAUAUAAUUUUUCUAUUUCAGCUCAUAUUUUUAGUUUAUAUGAACUGAGUGCCAACAAUUUUGUCAGUCUUGAAACUGAUAGUUACAAACUAGGAUUUCUCACCUGGAUUUUCCUUUAUUCCAUGAGGGUGUCUUAAUUUGACCAUUGAGGCAUAUGGGAUUCUUUGCAAUAAUCAAUAUAUCUUUAAAGAAUGUCCUUUCAAGCAACAUGUAUGUACAAUAAUAGUAAAUGAAUUCUUUGAUUAAUAAAUGUUUUAACCCUCUGUCUGUACACUGACCCCAAAAGGGAACAAGCAAAAUUUUUUACUUGUGUAGGCACAAAACUGGUGAUAGGCAAAGCUUGGCUUCCCUCCCUAAAAAACUUUGUAAUAGUAGGUACUCAUACCCAAAAGGACGCUUUGAUCUGAUACUUGUUAAAAUGGCAGAAUGUAAACUUUUCAAGUGUUCUCAAAAAGACCCAGUGUAUAGACCAUGUUAGUAUUUCGUGACAGAAAUAUUUAAUUUUUGUAUUUUUAAUUAUUUUGUCAUUUUCAUCAUAUUUUUACUUGAGUUACAAGCAUAAUUUGCUUUUUUUAAUUGAUAAAGAUAAUUUAAUCACAAUGGCCUCUUGGACACGUCUAAUCGCUGGCUCUUGCGUAUAUUCUAUGUCAUGCUUGAUUAUGCUGACAUAAAUUCGUCAUUUUAUACUAUUUGCGACAAAAAAUCUAUUUUUAAAUCAGCGUGACUUUAUAAAGACUUUGCUUUCAAUUUAGUAAAGCCACAUUUGCAACGUUGUUUAGAAAUAAAAACAUUAAGAAGCUAUUUGCGUCAUACAAUUUGAGAAAUUUUAAAUAAUGACGAUGACUCUACUCAGGCUUUUAAUCCUAAUACAAAAAUGAACAAACGAAAAAGAUAUUCUGUAUUUCGGUCCGCAGAUAAUAACAAAAAA